rnacentral:rRNA from 1 species
AGGGAAUAUUAGAAAUGGACGAAAGUCUGAUCUAGCGACACCGCGUGUGCGAAGAAGGCCUUCGGGUUGUAAAGCACUUUUUGGAAGGAAUAGGAAGGAAGGUACUUCCAGAAUAAGUCUCGGCUAACUACGUGCCAGCAGCCGCGGUAACACGUAGGAGGCGAACGUUAUCCGGAUUUACUGGGCGUAAAGCGCGUGUAGGUGGUUCUGUAAGUAGGGCGUGAAAGCUCCUGGCUCAACUGGGAGAGGCCGUUCUAAACUGCAGAGCUAGAGGAUGGUAGAGUGAGGUGGAAUGCCAGGUGUAGCGGUGGAAUGCGCAGAUAUCUGGAGGAACACCAGUGGCUAAGGCGGCCUCCUGGACCAUUCCUGACACUCAGACGCGAAAGCUAGGGUAGCAAACGG